rnacentral:rRNA from 1 species
UGGGGAAUUUUGGACAAUGGGCGCAAGCCUGAUCCAGCAAUGCCGCGUGAGUGAAGAAGGCCUUCGGGUUGUAAAGCUCUUUUGUCAGGGAAGAAACGGUGGGGGCCAAUAUCUCCUACUAAUGACGGUACCUGAAGAAUAAGCACCGGCUAACUACGUGC